rnacentral:other from 1 species
AGGUUGCUGCGGCUGCUCGUAAGACAGCACUGUCCCAGAGGCCGAUAAUAUCGCUAUGGGAGCUGUCCCUGCCCGGACCGUGGUCUGGAUAUACGGCACCCACCUGUUCUACAGGGCCUAGCGGAUAAUCCCGUCAACGGCGCAUGUGGCUCCUUC